GAAGUUGUUCCUUCCUUCCUGUCAGUUGGCUGUCUGCACAGAGCAGAGCAGCUUCCUCACUUUGAAACCCUGAACUCACACAGGGAACGUGCUGAUGCUUCAGCGGGACAAGGAACAAAAGAGACGGAGAGAGAAAACAUCCCUUGAGCAGCUCGUCUUUUAGACUCUCGGAUGCUCUCAGCCUCCUCAUUGAGAAACGUGGAUGAGGCAAGCAUCCUGUCAGGAGAGCUGUGAGCAUGCCUGCCUGUGUUUACAAGCAAGGAGCCCUGGGUCUGGACAGAUAAUUAUGAGUUAUGAAAUGCUCCUCCUCCCCGGGUUCCUCUCCUCUCUCACAUUCGUCUACACACUCAGGAAGUCCAGAUAGAGGAGCAAACUGUGUUGUUUUCUGAGAGACGCAGACGGAGAUCCCUUCCCUCAGCUCUGAUGAUGGCGGUGACAUGAUGACCUGCGUCUUCACGUCACCCGUGGCCUUCAAAUCGGGAUGCAGAGUACAUUUGCUCAGCUUGAGCUGGAGCUGAGGCUUCAGGUUUUUACUCCUGACACUCUGUGUGCUGUAGUUGCUGCUGUGUGGAUGUGAAGCUCUCUGCGCUGAUGAUGAUGAGGAGGCCAGCCUUGAAUCAGGAGGAAAAACUCCAUUGUAGAGAAGCACAAACUCUCUCUGACUGGCCAAGGGAAGGAUUCUCUGCCUGAGACGGCACUUGUUGAAGAUCUCCAGAGUUAAAUCUAAAGAAAAGCAUCACAGCAAAUAUAAUUAAAAAAAUUUAACACACACAAUUUUUUUUUUAAAUGUAGCAUUUGAUUAAAGGAACUGUGACUGUGUCAUGCAAACAAUAAAAUAAUGAGUUUGUC